GGCGGCGUGCCUAAUACAUGCAAGUCGAGCGAACAGACGAGGAGCUUGCUCCUCUGACGUUAGCGGCGGACGGGUGAGUAACACGUGGAUAACCUACCUAUAAGACUGGGAUAACUUCGGGAAACCGGAGCUAAUACCGGAUAAUAUAUUGAACCGCAUGGUUCAAUAGUGAAAGACGGUUUUGCUGUCACUUAUAGAUGGAUCCGCGCCGCAUUAGCUAGUUGGUAAGGUAACGGCUUACCAAGGCAACGAUGCGUAGCCGACCUGAGAGGGUGAUCGGCCACACUGGAACUGAGACACGGUCCAGACUCCUACGGGAGGCAGCAGUAGGGAAUCUUCCGCAAUGGGCGAAAGCCUGACGGAGCAACGCCGCGUGAGUGAUGAAGGUCUUCGGAUCGUAAAACUCUGUUAUUAGGGAAGAACAAAUGUGUAAGUAACUAUGCACGUCUUGACGGUACCUAAUCAGAAAGCCACGGCUAACUACGUGCCAGCAGCCGCGGUAAUACGUAGGUGGCAAGCGUUAUCCGGAAUUAUUGGGCGUAAAGCGCGCG
rnacentral:rRNA from 1 species